GCAUAGUUUAAUGGUAAAACAUCUCCUUGCCAAGGACAAGAUACAAGUUUGACUCUCGUCGUUGCG
rnacentral:tRNA from 1 species